rnacentral:lncRNA from 1 species
AUUUGCAUUAACUUCAUCAGGCCACCCAGGCCCUUCCAACUCGGGACGGCUUUGUUAUUUUCUUGGCUUGGGCGGUCGGGGUUCCUGGACCACACAGACAGGGUGAAUUUAAAUGAUAAGCCCAAGAGAGCACACACCUGGUAUUAUGCUGAAUCCAACCUGUUUUCUUGUCUUCAGUCUUGCAGGGCCUACGGUGGGCACAGUGAGCUUGGAACUUCACCCGAUCAUUUCAACGACCUUAAGAGCUUCUACAGCUGCCUAUGAAAAUGCAAAUGGAUGGGCCAGACUGAAGAAAUCUAUGAACUAGAAUUGACGGACUCAAGUCUAGGCCAGCUCUAAAACAUGGAAUCAAGGUCAUCUGAGAAGUGGACAUGUUGGUCAGUGUGUGAAACCAGGGUGCUCGACUGUGGGGAGAAAGGAAGGUGGGUCACUCUAAUCAAGGGUCCCAAACAAGUAGACAUCAAGCAGGAGAGGGUCUGUCGACGGAGGCCGAAGCAGCAGUCAACAAACGGAAGACCCACAAGAUGGGAAGUUAGUGGAGAUCCAUUAGUGGGGGUCUAAUAUUAGUGCCUGGGUACAUCGGGUUGAUAAAAAGUAAAUUAAGUCAGUAUGAGGCACUAGUGAUCAGAAGAAAAGGUGAAAGCUACUUGUGUCAAAGUGGAAGUAAGCAGCAAGACUGGUUCAACAUACCCCCAGUAAAUUAUUAAUGGAGAGAUUCUUGUUUCCCCUUGUUUUAAGCGUAGGAUUGCUCAGAGCCUAGAACCAGGGUUGAACAGAUGGGUAGGGACACGGAGGCUUCAAGAGGGGAGGAGUAUAAUGAUUAGGCACCAAACAUAGCAUGCUCUGUGAUUGGACUUGUGAGUGUGUGUUGAGUACAGGAAAUAAAGUUGGAUCUGAACACCUUAGAAACUGGAAGAAGAGUUCUAGUUUGAUGUGGUUGGUGUUCAGUAGGUUCCUCAGCUGGAGAACAACCACAUCAAGGUAGUUCUCUAUGCAAACUCUUCUAGCAGUAACGUGCAAGGUCAGGAAGGUGGAGCAGAUGAGAAUAUUUUGUAGCAAAUGGAAGUGUGAAGUCACCGGGCACGUGAACCUCGUAUGUCAGGCAGUUUCAGAGAAGUUGUGAGGAUAGAAGUUUCAAAUGCAGUGGGUUGAAAAGUGAAUAGGAAGUGAGUCAAGGGGAUGCCUGGGUGAAAGGGAAAAUAAAUAGGAAAGUCAUUAGAGAGAAACUUGGUAUCGUUUCUUUUUUUUUCUGAGAGGAAACACUUGAUCAUUUCUAUUUCCAUAGGGACCCUUGAGGAAAAAUGCUUUUCUGCUUCUAGGACAAAGAAGAACGGUUUUUCUGGGCAAUUCUGUUUUUAAUGUUAGGAACAAUUUUGAUUGUGAAAUGGGUUAGGUUUUUCCACUUCUCCUUGACUGUCCAAAAAUUCAAGGUAACUCUGAUUCAACUGUGGUGUCUAGAUCUUCAUGGGAUGGGUUUUAAAACUCACUCCUCACUCCGUUUGAUAGACCUGGUCUGAUUUUUCUCCCAUUUUCUCUUGUUUUUCGUGUCAUGUUUUAUUUCUUUCUUUUGUUUUGGAACUUUAUGACUCAUUUAUGUCACUUUCUGGAAUGAGAUGUACCCCUAACAACAAAUAUAUUGCCUGGCACAGGGUAAGAUCUUAAUUUGUAUUUGUUAAGUGGAUUAAAUAAAUCGAGCAUAGAAUAUGAGGAAAAAGAGGAAUCUCCUUGACAUUUUGAAGGAUGCCGUGACAGGGGUUACUAAUAGAUUGGAGAAAGGCAGUGGGGACAGGAAAGAGUAAAGAUAAGGAUUGGUCCUAAUCUGGAAUUCUGGUGGGGAUACCUGGAGUAGAGGUGGGUAUUAAAAAGUAAUGCAGAGGGGCCAGCCCAGUGGUGCAGUGGUUAAGUUCACAUAUUCCACUUCGGCAGCCCAGGGUUUGCCGGUUCGGAUCCCGGGUGUGGACACAGCACCACUUGGCAAGCCUUGCUGUGGCAGCAUCCCACAUAUAAAGUAGAGGAAGGUGGGCAUGGAUGUUAGCUCAGGGUUAAUCUUCCUCAGCAAAAAAAAAAAAAAAAAAAAAUUAAUGCAGAUUUAUAGAAAAAUGAUCAGCUUAGAUUUGAAGAAUCUCCAAUUGGCUACCAUAUGUAAAAGGCUUCAACCUUUUGACUAUCAGAUGAUGCCUCCUGCAUUCCUCAUUUUUGAGUUUGUUUACAAGGAGGAGGGCCAUUCUGAGCAGAAAGAUGGGCUCUUUCAGAGGAAGGAUGGUGAUGAUUCAUGUCUGUUGGCAUUUCCUAGGGGCCUCCUACAUAGGAUGGUCUCACAUCCGUGCUGGACAUAGUUAGGGACCAUUUUCUCUAAAGUUACAGAACAAUUUAAAAAAUUCUGGGUUUCUGUUGUCACCAGGAUCACUCUUUCAAUUCUAGUCCUUUUCAAGGUGCAUAUGACACUAACAUUGUGGACAGUUGGAGGGAGGGCGGGGGGCAUCUCAAGAAUCAAAUGAGAGAACCAAGACUAACCAAUGUUCGGCUGGCCUGGUGGCAUAGUGGUUGGGUUCACGAGCUCGCUUUGGCGGCCUGGGGUUCACCGGUUCGGAUCCCGGGUACAGACCUACACACUGCUUAUGAAGCUAUGCUGUGGCAGGCAUCCCACAUAUAAAAUAAAGGAAGAUGGACACAGAUGUUAGCUCAGGGCCGAUUGUCCUCAGCAAAAAUAGGAGGAUUGGCGGCGGAUGAUAGCUCAGGGCUAAUCUUUCUCAAAAGGAAAAAAAAAAAAGAAUAAACAAUGUUCUUAAUAACAUGGGAUAUGGACUGAAAAAGUUAGCAGGAAUACAUUCAAAUUUUCUAUCUAAUUCAAGCAGUAAGGAGUGCUUCCUUCAAAUAAAUUCACAUGAAAAUAAAUAGGACCUGAAUGCAAUAUAAUCCAAACAUAUGAUGUGAUUAAGUGAGAAAAAGAUGCAGACACAGACUGUGUUGACAGAGGAGAGGUGGACUCAAGAGAGAACAGUUUCAUUGUAUUCUGCUGGCAUCCUCUGCUCCCAGUCUUUGUAACAUUCUUUAGGGGAUUUUGACGAAUGCAGGCACAUUCUGGGGACAGUGACUGCAAUGGGGCAGGUUCGGGGACCAGUCAGGUCAAGAGUUGCCACAGGAUUUGAGGUUGUUAUUCUUAAAAUAUGUAAAGGAUGUCACGUGGAAAAAUAACUUGAUUUAUUCUGCAAAUCUCUAGGGAAUAUACCAAAACCAUUAAGCAGGAAAUCAUGAAAUAUUUAUUAGUUGUCUCUUGCUAGGUGGAGUGCCAGAUGCCCGGGAAAGAGGAGGAAUAAGACAGACACAGCCCCUGCAUUCAAAGAGGGAGAGGUUGUGAAACCUAGAAGAAAAUGAGCGUUACCAUCACAUGUUGGGGAUUUUCCCUCGGGUAAACUAAAGCUUUGAGCACGUCCUAACGUCAUUCUGAAAGAAGGGACGCUCCUCGGAGCCUCGUGGAGGUUUUGCUUAUUCUUUGGCGCCUCAACAUAGACAAGCUCAGACUCCUCCUCGCUUUAUUGGCAACAAUAACAACAAAUUUCUCCAUUCACAUGAAGCGUUUAUUAGGUAGUAAGCAGAUGUUACCGAGGAGACCAAAACAACAACUGGGUGUAUGUGUGUCUGGGAAAUUGGAUGAAAUGAAAAGGUUUACAUCCUGACAAGUCAACGUCAAAUGAAACAACAGAUGAUCAAUAUGCCCUGUUACCUCACCACCUGUAACCUCACUCACUGCCCCUCUCUGUUUUUCUGGCCUUUCUCAUUUUUCCUGUUUCUUCGGCAUUUACAGCCAUCACUUCUUUUGAAGAGCUAUUACAGCAACUUUCUGCCCUUUCUUAGAUGGAACAUCUUUCUCCUCCCAAAUUCUUCCUUCCCAAUUCCCUUAGAUUCUAAUCUACCCUAAGGAAAAUGCUGACUUUUUAUCAGAUAUACUAUAAUUAUGAUAAGGAAACAAUGAAAUGGUAAACACAAAGACCGCCUAAGAAAAAGGGCACAUAUUUAUUGCAAGUGAUGAAAAUAAUGCAAACUAAAAUAAGACUUUCAUCCAGAAAAGCAUAUAAAAUCCAGGUAAGGAAUGCAGUCUUUCCCAUUCUCUGGAAAGCUCCUCCUGAACCAAAGGAGAAAGUUCUUUCCCUUUCUGCUCUCUUUCACUUAACUAUAGGGACUAUUUAGUGUUUUUCUUCCUAAGUCCUAUAUUCCCAUACACAGUAAUAGUGAGCACUGUUGUUUGAGCUUAUUAAUAGAUUGAACGACAUGUUCAUUCAUUCAGCAAACAGACAUGUUUAUCUGAAAUGGAGAUGCAAAAAUAAAUCAGACAUUUUGCCUUCAAAGGCAUUACAGUCCAAUGAUUAUCAUUUAAAUAAAUUAUACGUGUUGUCAGUAUUAUGAUAAGCCUGUGUUUUGAGUAGAGAGGGACCACACAAGAGGGUCUGGACAGUUUUUCACUGACAAUGUUUGGAUGUGGGUGACACAAGUUAUUUUUAAAAACAAAUAACUAUUAAGUGCUCUCAAGGUGGACAGUUCAACGCUGGGAAAAUGGAAGAUGCUUUUUUCAUGAAUGAAGGUAGGUUUUGGGUAAGGGGAAGGCCAGGUGUAGAGAGAGGAGAGAAAUGAUAGAAACCUAGAGUAAAGAUGAGGGAAAAGUAAAAGAGAAGAGAACUUUUUCUCAAUUUAUGCAGUCUACUGCAACACAUGUGAAUUACCGGCAGCAAUUUUCUCAGCAGGAUCUAGUGGAAUUUUGCUCUUUUCCUGCUUUCCAAAUUUACACUGACAGAAUACGAGCUAAUGGGGAGACGGAAUGGUGGAUCAGCGAGCUGGCGAUUAGUGGCUGUUAUGUGGAGUCAGGACGAGGUCAUCUACGUGAUGCUCGUGUCCAGAAGAGUCAUUGGCU